rnacentral:rRNA from 1 species
AUACCUGGCGGAUGUUACACCUGCAGUCGAACGGCAGCACGGACUUCGGUCUGGUGGCGAGUGGCGAACGGGUGAGUAAUACAUCGGAACGUGCCCAGUCGUGGGGGAUAACGUAGCGAAAGCUACGCUAAUACCGCAUACGAUCUAAGGAUGAAAGCGGGGGAUCGCAAGACCUCGCGCGAUUGGAGCGGCCGAUGGCAGAUUAGGUAGUUGGUAGGGUAAAGGCCUACCAAGCCGACGAUCUGUAGCUGGUCUGAGAGGACGACCAGCCACACUGGGACUGAGACACGGCCCAGACUCCUACGGGAGGCAGCAGUGGGGAAUUUUGGACAAUGGGCGAAAGCCUGAUCCAGCCAUUCCGCGUGCAGGAUGAAGGCCCUCGGGUUGUAAACUGCUUUUGUACGGAACGAAAAGGUCCUGGUUAAUACCUGGGGCUCAUGACAGUACCGUAAGAAUAAGCACCGGCUAACUACGUGCCAGCAGCCGCGGUAAUACGUAGGGUGCAAGCGUUAAUCGGAAUUACUGGGCGUAAAGCGUGCGCAGGCGGUGAUGUAAAGA